CAGCUAGAAAUAAAAAAAAAACUCAAACACUUUCUCUUCUCUGUUAGGGUUUCAAAAUCCCUUUUGGGCCGUCGCCGUUUUGACCCCUCUCGCCGCGGUUCUACCGCGAUCUGCGGUCAGAGGCGCGGCUAAGCCGCUUCAAUCUCCCUGAAGCCGAUUUGGAGGUAAGGUAAAACAUCCAUUUCCUUUUCUUUUUUAUUAAUAGUUUUUUUUUAAAACAAACGGAUUUAUAAAAAAAUGGAAACAAAAAUAAAAAUGAAUCAAAAAAUAACACAAGAAAAAGAAUGAAGAAAAACAACCUUUUGUUUUCUUUUUUAUUUCUAAUGCCUGUUCAAACUAGAAGAAAAAGAAGAACCCCUUUUACAAACUAUUUUUGGGCUAUUUAUAGCCGAUAAAAAAAACAUGCUUUUUCUGUUUUUCUUUCUUUUGUUCUUGCUUGCGUGCUUGUUUUGUUUUGCAGGGGGUUAGUGGCCGGUGGCAGAGAGCAGGUGCGGUGGCAGAGCAGGUGGACAGAGGGUCGGUUGCUGAAGAGACGUGCGGCGCCUAGGUUGGGGGCUAGGGUUUUUUUCUGAAAAUGUUUUAGGUGUUGGCUAAUUGGGCUUUUAAUUUUUUUGGGCUGUUUUGAUUUGGGUUGGUAUUUGGGUCUAGGUAGGUUGUAAUGGGUAGGGGUUUAGGUUUGGGUUUUAAUUGGGUAUUGGGCCCUAGGCAAAUUUAGGCUUGUACACUUUGUUAUCAUCAUCGAUCUCCUAAACAAUAUAGACCAACCUGCCUUCAAAUUUCCGUACCCAGCCAUUCGUAAUUUUAUUUUCUCUACCCUUAUCGGCAUCACCCUUGCUGAAAAUGAAAUUCCACUCCUCUUCAAGAAACAUCCAUACGCCUUAUAUGCCUGCUUUAUAUCAAUCAACUUUUCAAGAAACUGCAUGCUGCAAUAAAUGGAGCCAUGGUUUUAACUUUAUCAAUUCUGGCUUAUGCUGAUUUCUUUAAUUUCUUCUAGUAUUUGUCUCAUUUUUUUAUAACUAGUUUUAACUCAGAAGGAUAUCACGUAUUGAUUUUACAUAAGCAACCUAUUUAAAAAUUUAAUAUUAACAAUAUUUAAUAAAUUUGUUUUCUCUAAUAGCCAUAAUUCAGUAGAGGAGGUUGUGGAUCAGAUGUUUCAUGGUGAGGAGUAGAGCUGUUCAUGGGCCGGGCCGGGUUCGGAAAAAUUUUUGGCUCUUGUCCUAGGCCCGGGUUCGGCCCGAAAUAUGGGCCUGAAAUUUUGUCCAUGCUUGGCAUAGGAAAAAAUUCAUAAGCUUGAGCCCGACCCGGCCCAUUUUUUAAAUAUACACCAAAAAAUUUUAAAAAAUAAAAAUAAAAUAAAAAUAUUUAUUAUAUUCGGGCCGGGCGGUGCCUGGGCCAAAAAAGUGAUGCUCGAUGCUCGGCCCAUUUUCUAAAUGGGCCUCUUUUUUUGCCUAAACUCAUAUUUUAAGCCUAUAUUUUUACCCGAACCCUCCCAUAUUUCGGGCAGGCUGUUGGGCCAAGCCGCACGGCCCAUGAGCACAUCUAGUGAGGAGUUAUAUGGGAUCGAAAACCAAUAUACUGCAUUGCAUUCUAAUGGUAACGGGCAGGUGUUGGUUUCCAUCGGAUAGAGGACGGGUUAAGCUCAAUAUAGAUAGAGCAAAUUCGCUGAAUGUUGUUAAUGCUUUUAUUGGAGAAGUGUUUAGGGACUCGGAUGCAAAUAGGUUAUGCGGCUUUUCAAUGAGGAUUGGUAAGAAUUCAAUUUUUAGAAUUGAAACAAGAUUGAUUUUAGAAGGGUUGGCAUAGCUUGGGAGAGGAAUUUUAGACAAAUAGAUGUGGAGUGUGAUAAUGCACUUCUAGUGGAAACUAUUUUAUCUUGUGGCACUGCUAGUAGUAAAAUGAUGGAAUUAUGCCUGAUUCAUCAAUUGCUAACCUAAAAUUGGAUUUCCUAAAAUUGGAUUUUCCAAUUUUGUCAUAUUUUGAGAUCUCUAAAUGAAGUUGCCGACCAAAUGAAAAAAUAUGCUCUUAACGGUGUCUCAAGGUUACUCUACUUUGAAGAGCCUCCAAGUUCGAUGUGUGAUAUGUUGAGGGAUAGAAAUAAUUCUUCAAUACUUAGUCUAUGUUUAAUAUUGUAAUUGCG
rnacentral:lncRNA from 1 species